CCCGGCUGGUAAUCAACUCCUGUGUGGAUUUAAUAUCUGUCUCUGGUUGGUUCUUUCUCACUGGGUGCAACAUUCUUGGAGGCCCCAGCAAGAUAGCCAGCUGCUCUGGAGCUUAUUAUCUUGGAGCCAUUGUUUCUUUUUAGGAGAGACCAGGAUCCAACAUCAGCAGUGUUUGGCCUCUCUGGACACUGGUCUGUGGAAGGAGAGGCCACCCUGAUGGUAUUCCAGGGCUCCAGGUAGGCUGGUCCCAGUUGGGCCCUAUUGCUGAUCAACCAACCUGCAGGAGUUUAUUGGGAAAGCCUCUAGAGGUAAGAAUCAAAUGAUUCUUAAUGCACUGUGGGUAGGUAGGAGGAAGCCGGACAUGGCACAGGUUCCCCUACCUAGAGUCUCUUCACAAAGGCAAGCAGACUCAACUGGGUCAGAGUCCUCAGAAGAGCAACUCCCUCGGUGGGGUCCAAAUCCAUUCAGCCCCAGAGGUUUUACUUGGCCAAAGUUUGUCUUUGUCUGUUUAUUGUUGUCUGUCUGCUUGCUCUGUGUGCCUUUUGCAUUUUCACAGGCUAAAAUUAUGGUUUCCUCACAGUCCAUGGAGGGAACUCCACUUGAUUGUGUUUUGAAUAACUUCAAAAAAAUUUAUUCCAUAGACAGGGAAGAUGAAUAUGGCAUGAAAUUUUCUAAAGGCAAAUUAAAAACCCUGUGUCAAUUAAAAUGGCCCAGUUUUGGAGUCAGUUGGCCCCCGGUGGGGACUUAAUUCUGUGCACAUUGCUCACAAGGUUUGGAAUGUGGUCACGGGAGUCAGGGCCCCACAGGUCCUGAUCGACCUUUGGCACUCAAUCAGGACAGGACUAUGGUCCAUCAGCCCCAUCUUCCUCCUCCCUUUUUCCUUUAAAACAGAGCCCAGGGGAGGAUUGAUUUAUGUCCCUUUUACAACUAGUGAUCUUUACAAUUGGAAACAUCAAAAUCCCCCCCCUUCUCUGAAAAACCUCAGGCAUUAAUCCCUUCUUGAGUCUGUUUUUCAUACCCAUCAACCAACCUGGGAUGAUUGCCAGCAGCUUUUACAGAUCCUGUUCACCAUUGAGGAGCGAGACCGCAUUUAUCAACAGACAGUCAAAGAGGCCCUGGGGCCAAACCUCGGCAUCACUCCCAGAACUCCAGAGCAUUCAGCCAAGGCUGAAACAGUAGUUCUGUCAUGAUACCUCGAAUGGGACCCCAAUGAUGAUGACAGUAAAGGGAGGCUGGGGAACUACUGCCAGCACUUAUUAGGGGGACUCCAGGAAGUGGCCAGAAAGUCCACUAAUUUCAGUAAGGCACAAGAGACAGUCCCUCUGGACAGAAAAGGAGAAAGCGCCUUUUUGGCUUUAAAAAAAGCCUUAGUGUCAGCACCAGCCCUGGCUGUACCUGAUGUCACCAAGCCCUUUUGGUUGUUUGUGGCUGAACAAGGGGACAUACCAAAAGGAGUGCUAGCUCAGGCAUUAGGGCCUUGAAACAGACCUGUGGCCUACCUGUCUAGAAGACUUGAUCCUGUGGCAACUGGGUGGUCUACCUGUUUGAGGGCAGUUGCAGCAACCACCCUCCUGGUCCAGGAGGCAGAUAAGCUCAGCCUGGAACAGGACAUGGUCAUCACCACACCCCAUGCGGUGGAGACAUUGCUGAGAGGAUCCCCAGAAUGAUGGCUCUCCAACGCCUGCCUGACUGAGUACCAGGCCCUGUUGCUGGAUGCUCCACAUGUCAAAUUCACCUGAGAAAUGACCCUCAAUCCAGCCACCAUACUCCUGGACUCCGACUCAUACGCAUGCCUCUCCAUGACUGUCUGGACACUCUGACAACUUCCACCACCAACCACCCAGACCUGACUGAUGUUCCCCUGCAAAGCCCAGAUGAGACCUUCUUCACCAAUGGGAACAGCUUCGUGGAAGACAGAGUCAGGGGGGCCUAGAAACUGUUGGCCUCAAAGGUGUAUGAAACAUGUCUGUCUUCCCCCAGUGGAGGCUCCAGUCUGAUGCUUGGCUUGGGUCCUGACUGAUAAUAAACUCCUGUGUGGAUUUAAUAUCGGUCUCUGGUUGGUUCAUUCUCACUGGGUGCAACAGGGG
ensembl:lncRNA